GUGACAUCAGAGGAAGCACAGUUACGGGUGUCAGCUUGGCAAAAGUUGCCACUUCUGACAGCUGGAUCAACAUGCCGCAAAUCGGUUAAGGUAAAAGCUGCUGUGAUUCAGUCAAAGGUCAUCUUAAGACAGCCAUCUUGUUGAGGUAUUGUAGAUGAAAUGUUCCUGUCACAAUCCAAAUAAUUGUACAGAUAGACUUCUGCCUUCGAAAAAGAAGAGUUCCCUUAAAUUCUGUGCAGACCCCAGAAGACAACAGUGAUCUGUACAGUCCAGGACGAGCAGAGCUGUAAGAGUGUGCCAUCCUCUCCUUGUGGAACACUCAUGUCAUGGCCAUUGUGGGAGGGGCCUUUGUCGCAGUGAGAGGAUAGGGAACCAGGAAUCACAAAGGCUGGUAUUCCCAACCAUUCCUCACACCUAACAGGCUCCUAA